rnacentral:lncRNA from 12 species
UGCACCUACCUGUGCAGACAGCCACUGGGGCAGGGUGCACCUUCCCUCCUCCCACUCAGUCCUGGGGUAACCACCGGUAGCCAGACUGGGGCAGGGACUCCGUGGGAGACACCUCGGGGAACACACCCCGAAAGCUCUGGCCCUCUCGGCGCGGCUUUUACUCUUCCCAGCCUCCUGCCUGGCCCGGGCCGUACUUCAACAGAGGAGUCCGCCUCCCUGCCUGCACUGUCCCCCGCGAGGUGUGGGGUGGGGGUGGGGGUGGGGGGGUGCUGCACAGGCUCCCGCUCGGCACCCGAACCUCACCUGCCCGGCCCUGGCCUGCGAGUCGCCCCCUGGCCUCCCCUCAACGAGCCCCCUUCGUGCCCCUGCACCUGCUGCUCCCUCACCGGGCGCCUCCUUCCCCUCGGGUCUUGGUCUGGCGCAGUGCCCCCUCCUCCUCCGGGGUGCUUGCCCUUUCGCAACUUCUCUUCUAUCCGGUCUUUCGCUCCCCACUGCGAUGGCAGCACUGCCCCGGUUCCACUCUCAGGGACUACGACCGCGUGGGCACUCCAUCACCUCUGCGGCCUCACUCUCUGGGCAGCUGUCGCCACGCGAUACCCCACAUUCCGCAUACAGAGGCCACACACCCCUCAUCACUGCCGCACUGCCCCCGUCGGGCGGCGCACUGUCCGGCACUGCCCGGCCCCGCCCCCGCCUGCCACGCACCGUCCCUGCGGGUCCCCGCACUGCCCUCGCCGGCCCCCGCCAGCCACAGCACUGUUCCCGCCGCCCACCUCACCGCCCCCGCCGCCCCGCGCGCUGGAGCGGGAACCCGGGCUGCUAGUCCAGUGCGCACGCGCAACGGGGGGGCGGGGCCGCCGCUGCGUUAACCCCCUCGGCGCCGGCCCGGAGCCGCCCGCCCUGCGCGGCCCUCCCGCCCCCAGCAGUCGGCCGGCCCCCUGCGGCACGCAGCCGGCCCAGGGUCGCCCCAGAUCCCCGCCUCGCGGGGGAGACAGAAGACGAGGCCCCGACGCGGCCCGUCGGGAACGGCCGGGGCCCUUUAACACUCCCUUCGCUCCCUCCAUUGGCUGA